rnacentral:lncRNA from 1 species
CCACAAUAUGCUGUUAUGGAAAGAUCUAUAUUUGAGUACAAAAUGUUUACACUACUUGACCAUGGAGAAAAAAGCUGUCUCCAAACACCAUUCACUGUAACACCAUUAACUAUGGAAUGUUUCCUGUUUCUACCUGUGCCCGUGCAUGGCUUUCUCAUUGAUGGAACUUGUAUUGAGCAGAGUUGGGAACAGGGUCCAGAAGCUAAAUAUACGUCUUCCUGUUAGACUAAUUCCUCAAUCUGUGAAAAUCUUUCUUUUUCUCAGAAAAUGGCAGGCGACGUCAGUGAGUCAUAGUUUUAUACUGGCCCAUUAAGCCCUGUAAUGUAGCAUUUUUAAUAGCGUCUGCAUUUUUAGUAGACUCUGUUUCCAGGCUGGCUUCCCCUGGCUAGCACAUGGAUAGCAAUUCCUUCCACUGUAACCUUCUGACUCUCCUCACACACUCCAUCAGCCAACCUGUCUCAAUAUGCUAGUGUCCAGAAUAGUCCAGAAUAAAAUGUACAAUCCUGUGGAUCCUCUCUCAGAAGGACCUGUAGUGGAAAUGAAGUUCUGAGUUUGCACACACAUCCUGUCACCCACCCCAUCCUCUCCCAGCUGUGUUUGAAAUGGCAAGGCUCUGAAUCCGUUGAUCGCACUUUGAAUAGAGAGGUUCACAGGUGCUGGAGGUUUGGGUCUUGUUGCUGUUGUUUCUUCUAAGCAGUGAUGAUAAAAACUAAACACUUUCAAAACGUUGUCCCAGAUCCGACUUGUGCUUGGCACAGUAAGCCGAGCUCUAUCUGUUUGCCCAGAACAUGACCCCUAAGGGUGCUUACUUUGCUGCUUAUAAGAUAUGGUCUCCCAUAGAUCCACUCACAGCAAGAGCGUAGAAUGCAGAAGAGGAGAAUGGGCCUGAGCUCGAGAUAUAUAUCAACAAUUAAUGAAAAAGGAGGCCACGGGGAAAGGGAAAUGAGAAAUGAUGCAGCUAUAUCAUAAUGUCAAAAAGAAAAAGAAGAAAUUGCUUCAUGCACAUAGCCUAAAGUUUGAUCUUUUAAAGUCUCACCUCUUUAGUAAAACAAUCUCAGUCUUUCAACUUGUAUGCAUAAUCCAUUUACGUUUAGUGUAGCUAUUAGCAUUGGGGGUUUUAAAUAUCCCUUUUCUAUUUCUUUUAUAUAUCUAUGCCACUUGUUUUUAUAGUUUGCUUUCAUCUGUUCCUUCUUUCCUUCCAGUUGAGUAUUAUAGAUAUUUGAUUGUUUUCCUCCACUAUGAGUUCCUCUGACUCAUGAUAUCCGUCCAUGUCAGUUGUAUGCCCUGCGUUUGACAUUGUAUGUCUUUACCCAAUAGUAGUCCUACUUUCAAAGAGUAACUCCUCACAAUAGGCUUUACUUCCCUUGAGUUCUGCAUCUUGUGUCACAAGUAGUUCUUCUAUGUGUUCCGUGUCUCAGAUUGCUUCCUGCUCCCUGGGAUGCUCUUUUGAGACAGCUCAUUGCUCCUUAGCUCAGACUGUCAUGAUCUUGUGAUUCUCCCAACUGCCUCUGGAGUAGCAAGAUAACAACACACACCAGUUCUCCUACCAGUCAACUACCCUUUAAAACACCAACUGUCCCGCUCCUGAGAAUAAGCCUGAAGGAGUCAAAGUUAUCAUACAAUAGAUAUAUGCACAUACCCAUUUAUUAUGGCCCUUGGAAUCAGCCUAGGUUCCCCUCAGUGAAUGCAAAAAGAAAACGUGGUAGAUACACAGUGGAGUAUUUUUCAGCCGUAAAGAAUGAAGCAAUGUUAUUUGCAGGAAAAUGGAUGGAUCUGGAGAUCACGGUGCGUAGUAGUUACUUUCCUUAUUACUGUGGCCAAAUACCAGAGAAGGAGCAACUCAGGGGUGAAAGGGUUUAUUUUAUCUUACAGUUCAAAGGCACAAUGUGUCACAGAAGAGAACCAGGAUAGGAGGAGCUUAAAGUGAUUAGUUAUAUUCUGUCUGCAGUCAGGAAGCAAACAAAUUGCUUGGGGCUGGCUUUAUAACCUCAGGGUCCAAACAAGUGACUCACUUUUUCCAGUGAGGCUCCACCCCCUAAAGGUCCUACAAUCUUCAUAAAUAACAUGACCAACCAGUAAACAAAUGUUCAAGAACAUGAGCGUAUUAGGGACAUGUCACAUGCAAACAAUAACAUUAUGUUAGAUGAUAAACUGGACUCAGAAAGAGAAAGAACGCAGGCUUCCCUCAUGUGUCAAAUCUAGGUUUGGAAAGAGAUGUGAACUCUGUGGGAGGUAAAGGGGUGAGGGAGAUAGGAUUGACAGAGGUAAUGGGGGCAAAUAUGAUCGAAGCACUUUUCGGAUACAUCUGAAGUACCACUGUAUAUGUAUGAUUGAAAUGUGUCAAUAAAACUUUAUAAAUGGACAAAUGUAUUUUGAAGUUAUCCACAUACCACUUUUCAGUGUCCUUUGUUCUACUAUAGAACUUCAAUUAUUCAUCUGGAAUUAUUUUUCUCUGCUUAGGGACUUCAUUUCAUUUCACAUUUUUUUUAACAAAUAAUUUCUUCUUUGUUUAAAACAAAUCUGUGCAUUAGUGUUUUUCUUGCGUGUGUGUCUGUGUUGGGCUGUCGGAACCUCUGGAACUAAAGUUACAGGCAGUUGUGAGCUACAGUGGAUGUGCUGGGAGUUGAACCCAUGUCCUCUGGAAGAAUAGCCAGUGCUUUUACCCAUCAUUUCACGUUCUUAAAGCACGUGUCUAUAGAACUCGGAUUUUCUCUUUCUUUUGCUUGCCUGGCAAAGUUUUGUAAGAUAAAGUGUCAAAGUCUAAAUUAGCAGUCUUUGCUUAUGGAGUUCUAUGCUGCUGAACCAUUCUUGCUUCCAUUGCUCUCAGUAUCUGUGUGUGAUUACUUCUGCCUUCCUUCAUUGUUCUCAGUAUGAUUAUUUCUGCCUUCCUUCAUUGUUGGACAUUUUUUGGCCCCUUUUUUAUGGUGUGUAGUAAUAUCAUCAAGACAUGCUUUGGUGUGCUUUUCUGUUUGUUUUUGUUGUUGCUGAAGAUGCCUCUUGAAUCUGUGAGUUGAUAAAUUUUAUCACUUUUGCCUAAGUAUUCUUUCUUUUUCCACUCUUGAUGAGACCCUAGAACUUUGGGUAUUACCCCAUGGACCACAUUUUAGUUUCUUCAUAUUUUGGCAGUUUCUCUUUUGUUCUUGCAUUUACAUUGAUUCUAUUUCUGCCUUCAGGGUCAUCAUUCAUUACUUUUGCAGGUCUAAUCUUUUGAUUCUAUCCACUUAUGGAUGAAAGUGUACAUUAUUCAUCUAUGAAAUGUUCCUGUAGUUAUUUUCUCUUGUUUGCUUUCCAUUUCUUGCCUUUAUUACACUCAUAUUUUCCUUUGAGUAUUGGGACACACCCAUUCUCGCUUUUGUAAAUUGAUUAGCUAACUAAUUAAUUUUGUGUGUGUAUGAGCAUUUUCCCUGCCUGUCAUGAGCAGAGUGCCCACAGAGGACAGAAGAGAGCAUCGAAUCCCCUGGGACUGGGGUUACAAUUGUGGAACCAAACCUCUGCUGAGCAGCCAGUCAUCUCUCCACACCCCUAUUGCUGCUUUUUACAAAUGUUUAUGAGUUCUUUGAUAAUCAUGCCUGAUGUUUUUAUCGUAUUUACCCAGUUCCUCAGAUCUGCCCGCACUCCUCUAGAGUGUCCUGUUUUGUUGUGUUGUGUUAACCAAUCAAGCCUGAUUUGUGCUGCCCAUGUGUUCUUCUUUAAAGCCUGCUGUCAUUUUAUUGCCACUCCUGUACUAGGCUAGUGCCUGUACUAGGCUAGUGCCUGUACUAGGCUAGUGCCUGUACUAGGCUAGUGCCUGUACUAGGUUAGUGCCUGUACUAGGUUAGUGCCUGUAGUAGGUUAGUUCCUAUACUAGGUUAGUGCCUGUACUAGGUUAGUGCCUAUACUAGGUUAGUGCCUGUACUAGGUUAGUUCCUGUACUAGGUUAGUGCCUGUACUAGGUUAGUGCCUGUACUAGGUUAGUGCCUGUACUAGGUUAGUUCCUAUACUAGGUUAGUGCCUGUACUAGGUUAGUUCCUGUACUAGGUUAAUGCCUGUACUAGGUUAGUUCCUAUUGGCUGACCCUUGUCUAGACUAUGGUCUGUAUUUUAUUGGAAUGUCUUACAACCAUCUUGAUUCAUGAGAUACUGUGAAUGUUGUGAAUUAUCAUCCUUGAGUGUCUAAAAGGAAUAUCCUAAACAGAGGAGGCGCGACUCCUGUCAGGGUGUAACACAAGCCACACUAUCAGCAAGGAAGAGUUAAAUUCCUGCUUUGACCUGGGGCAGGACAGACCAAUGGGCAAGGAGUCAGAACUGGUAAUGUGAGGUUCAAGGACAAGGGUUUAAUGUUCGUUUGAUCUCCAGAAAUUAAAGGAACUCUACAAAAGUAUAUUUAGAUACUAGUUUCAAGGGAAAAUAUGCUUUCCAAAUAAAGCUUUAAAGAAUUUAGAUUGUUUGUUAUGCUCAAAGGUUAUAGUUGUUAUAUUCAAAUACAGUAAAUGUUAUACUCCGAAUUUGAACUUUUCAUUAUUAAUUCUUUCACAUGUGACAUGUUUAGGAAAUUUAAGUCUUUAAAAUUAUUUCCUAAUGUGCAGUUAUGAUGAAGACCUGUCUCAAGGGAAAAGGCUAUUUGGCUGGUAUAUCUGUUUUGAACAAAGGAAUUAAAAUCUUAGUUUUAGACAAGGCCUGAUUCAUGUGUCUUUUGUUCUAAGAAUCCUAUUGAAACUAUUUUUAAUGAGAAGCUAUCACUAAGAGCUUCAUAACCCACCAAAUUUAUGAGUGUGAGAAGCAAGCAAAUGUACAUGAAACAGAUAAAUUUGAUUUUAGAUAUGAAUUUGAACAGGAUGUUUGAAGUCUUUUAACUCUUACAAUUUGCAGAAAAACUAAGAACAAGAGAAAAAAUGCCCUAUGUUGUGUGUGUGUGUGUGUGUGUGUGUGUGUGUGUGUGUGUGUGUGUGUGUAGGGGGAAGGGGAGGGGACUCAUGCUACAAAGCAAGUAUGAACGUCAAAGGAUGCUUUCCAGGACUUGGGUUUCUCCUUCUACUCUGUGGGAGACAGCGAUUAUGCCUCCUUAGCAGCCCAAGAGAGGGGAUUUCAUAAGCACCUAAAAUGAAAACUUAUGUUUUCUAUUUGGAAAACAAUGGAAUCUCCAUAUGCCCAUAGGCUUUUUACUACACAAC